rnacentral:rRNA from 1 species
CUCGGGUGAAGGAACUAGGCAAAAUGGUGCCGUAACUUCGGGAGAAGGCACGCUGGCAUGUAGGUGAAGUCCCUUGCGGAUGGAGCUGAAGCCAGUCGAAGAUACCAGCUGGCUGCAACUGUUUAAUAAAAACACAGCACUGUGCAAACACGAAAGUGGACGUAUACGGUGUGACGCCUGCCCGGUGCUGGAAGGUUAAUUGAUGGGGUCAGCCGCAAGGCGAAGCUCUUGAUCGAAGCCCCAGUAAACGGCGGCCGUAACUAUAACGGUCCUAAGGUAGCGAAAUUCCUUGUCGGGUAAGUUCCGACCUGCACGAAUGGCGUAAUGAUGGCCAGGCUGUCUCCACCCGAGACUCAGUGAAAUUGAACUCGCUGUGAAGAUGCAGUGUACCCGCGGCAAGACGGAAAGACCCCGUGAACCUUUACUAUAGCUUGACACUGAACAUUGAGCCUUGAUGUGUAGGAUAGGUGGGAGGCUUUGAAGCGUGGACGCCAGUCUGCGUGGAGCCAUCCUUGAAAUACCACCCUUUAAUGUUUGAUGUUCUAACUCGGCCCCAUAAUCUGGGGUGAGGACAGUGUCUGGUGGGUAGUUUGACUGGGGCGGUCUCCUCCCAAAGAGUAACGGAGGAGCACGAAGGUUAGCUAAUCACGGUCGGACAUCGUGAGGUUAGUGCAAAGGCAUAAGCUAGCUUGACUGCGAGAGUGACGGCUCGAGCAGGUACGAAAGUAGGUCUUAGUGAUCCGGUGGUUCUGAAUGGAAGGGCCAUCGCUCAACGGAUAAAAGGUACUCCGGGGAUAACAGGCUGAUACCGCCCAAGAGUUCAUAUCGACGGCGGUGUUUGGCACCUCGAUGUCGGCUCAUCACAUCCUGGGGCUGAAGUAGGUCCCAAGGGUAUGGCUGUUCGCCAUUUAAAGUGGUACGCGAGCUGGGUUUAGAACGUCGUGAGACAGUUCGGUCCCUAUCUGCCGUGGGCGUUGGAAGAUUGAGAGGGGUUGCUCCUAGUACGAGAGGACCGGAGUGAACGCACCACUGGUGUUCGGGUUGUCAUGCCAAUGGCAUUGCCCGGUAGCUAAGUGCGGAAAAGAUAAGCGCUGAAAGCAUCUAAGCGC